rnacentral:tRNA from 1 species
GGGGGUGUAGCUCAGUCGGUUAGAGCAGGGAACUCAUAAUUCCUUGGCCGCGGGUUCGAGUCCUGCCACCCCUAC